rnacentral:rRNA from 1 species
AGGACGAACGCUGGCGGCGUGCUUAACACAUGCAAGUCGAACGGAAAGGCCCUGCUUUUGUGGGGUGCUCGAGUGGCGAACGGGUGAGUAACACGUGAGUAACCUGCCCUUGACUUUGGGAUAACUUCAGGAAACUGGGGCUAAUACCGGAUAGGAGCUCCUGCUGCAUGGUGGGGGUUGGAAAGUUUCGGCGGUUGGGGAUGGACUCGCGGCUUAUCAGCUUGUUGGUGGGGUAGUGGCUUACCAAGGCUUUGACGGGUAGCCGGCCUGAGAGGGUGACGGCCACGAUUGGGACUGAGAUACGGCCCAGACUCCUACGGGAGGCAGCAGUGGGGAAUAUGCACAAUGGGCGAAGCCUGAUGCAGCAACGCCGCGUGCGGGAUGACGGCCUUCGGUUGUAAACCGCUUUCGCCUGUGACGAAGCGUGAGUGACGGUAAUGGGUAAAGAAGCACGGCUAACUACGUGCCAGCAGCCGC